rnacentral:tRNA from 1 species
GGCUUUGUAGUGUAAUCAGGUUAGCACAAGACAUUUGCAAUGUUUUAGAGGAGUUCAAAUCUCACAAGGUCCA